rnacentral:rRNA from 1 species
GACGAACGCUGGCGGCGUGCUUAACACAUGCAAGUCGAACGCUGAAGCUCAGCUUUUGUUGGGUGGAUGAGUGGCGAACGGGUGAGUAACACGUGAGUAACCUGCCCCCUUCUUUGGGAUAACGCCCGGAAACGGGUGCUAAUACUGGAUAUUCACUGGUCUUCGCAUGGGGGUUGGUGGAAAGGGUUUUUCUGGUGGGGGAUGGGCUCGCGGCCUAUCAGCUUGUUGGUGGGGUGAUGGCCUACCAAGGCUUUGACGGGUAGCCGGCCUGAGAGGGUGAACGGUAACAUUGGGACUGAGAUACGGCCCAGACUCCUACGGGAGGCAGCAGUGGGGAAUAUUGCACAAUGGGCGCAAGACUGAUGCAGCGACGCCGCGUGAGGGAUGGAGGCCUUAGGGUUGUGAACCUCUUUCGCUAAUGGUCAAGCCGCAACAAUGGUUGUGGUGAGGGUAGUGGGUAAAGAAGCGCCGGCUAACUACGUG